rnacentral:rRNA from 1 species
CUAAAUGCAGUCGAACGAUGAACCUCACUUGUGGGGGGAUUAGUGGCGAACGGGUGAGUAACACGUGAGUAACCUGCCCUUGACUCUGGGAUAAGCCUGGGAAACUGGGUCUAAUACCGGAUAUGACNGACUAUCGCAUGGUGGUUGGUGGAAAGCUUUUGUGGUUUUGGAUGGACUCGCGGCCUAUCAGCUUGUUGGUGGGGUAAUGGCCUACCAAGGCGACGACGGGUAGCCGGCCUGAGAGGGUGACCGGCCACACUGGGACUGAGACACGGCCCAGACUCCUACGGGAGGCAGCAGUGGGGAAUAUUGCACAAUGGGCGGAAGCCUGAUGCAGCGACGCCGCGUGAGGGAUGACGGCCUUCGGGUUGUAAACCUCUUUCAGUAGGGAAGAAGCGUAAGUGACGGUACCUGCAGAAGAAGCGCCGGCUAACUACGUGCCAGCAGCCGCGGUAAUACGUAGGGCGCAAGCGUUAUCCGGAAUUAUUGGGCGUAAAGAGCUCGUAGGCGGUUUGUCGCGUCUGCCGUGAAAGUCCGGGGCUCAACUCCGGAUCUGCGGUGGGUACCGGGCAGACCUANGAUGUGAUGUAGGGGAGAUCUGGAAUUCCCUGGUGUAGCGGUGAAAUGCGCAGAUAUCAGGAGGAACACCGAUGGCGAAGGCAGGUCUCUGGGCAUUAACUGACGCUGAGGAGCGAAAGCAUGGGGAGCGAACAGGAUUAGAUACCCUGGUAGUCCAUGCCGUAAACGUUGGGCACUAGGUGUGGGGGACAUUCCACGUUUU